rnacentral:rRNA from 1 species
UACGAAGGGGGCUAGCGUUGUUCGGAAUCACUGGGCGUAAAGGGCGCGUAGGUGGCCUGUGGAAGUCUGCGGUGAAAGCCCGGCGCUCAACGCCGGGUCGGCCGUGGAUACUCUCGGGCUCGAGCUUACUAGAGGCAGAUGGAAUUCCGGGUGUAGCGGUGGAAUGCGUAGAGAUCCGGAAGAACACCGGUGGCGAAGGCGGUCUGCUGGGGUAAUGCUGACACUGAUGCGCGACAGCGUGGGGAGCAAACAGG